rfam:Triticum aestivum genome assembly, contig: Triticum_aestivum_CS42_TGACv1_scaffold_031219_1BL
CAAAUACUCCCUCUGUUCGUAAAUACUUGUCAUCAAAAUGGAUAAAAGGAAAUGUAUCUAGACGUAUUUUAGUUUUAGAUAUACCUCUUUUUAUCCAUUUUGAUGACAAGUAUUUUCGGACGGAGGGGGUAUUUA